rnacentral:rRNA from 1 species
GACGAACGCUGGCGGCGUGCCUAAUACAUGCAAGUAGAACGCUGAAGGAGGAGCUUGCUCUUCUGGAUGAGUUGCGAACGGGUGAGUAACGCGUAGGUAACCUGCCUGGUAGCGGGGGAUAACUAUUGGAAACGAUAGCUAAUACCGCAUAACAGUAGAUGUUGCAUGACAUUUACUUAAAAGGUGCAAUUGCAUCACUACCAGAUGGACCUGCGUUGUAUUAGCUAGUUGGUGGGGUAACGGCUCACCAAGGCGACGAUACAUAGCCGACCUGAGAGGGUGAUCGGCCUCACUGGGACUGAGACACGGCCCAGACUCCUACGGGAGGCAGCAGUAGGGAAUCUUCGGCAAUGGACGGAAGUCUGACCGAGCAACGCCGCGUGAGUGAAGAAGGUUUUCGGAUCGUAAAGCUCUGUUGUAAGAGAAGAACGAGUGUGAGAGUGGAAAGUUCACACUGUGACGGUAUCUUACCAGAAAGGGACGGCUAACUACGUG